rnacentral:rRNA from 1 species
CAAAGGCCGAGCCCCCAACCCCUACCCCGGCCCUUCAUUUCGACUGAUCUACAUCGCCAUCAGCAAAGACAAGAGGUCAUGACGACGGCGGAGGAGGUCGGCAAUGGACUGGAGUUCUUAUCAGAUCUGGUGGAUAGGUUCCCCUUGCUGGAUCUUGCAUCAAUCGAUUUCAAUCCAGCGGGUGAACUGGAUACUUGUUUUACACAGUCAGCUGUUGAAUCGAGCAUGGGAGAUAUUGGCGACGCUCCGCUUACAAUCCAGGUCGCUGAGAACAACGGCUGCGAGGAACUGAGCUUGUCGGCGGCCGAUUCACAACAAUCAACAGGAAAAGAUGACCGUCAGGCCCCCGGGUGGACAAAAAGGGUUCAUAUUGGGCGAGCCCCUCUCGAGCGUCCACCUUGUGCUGGAAGAGUAUGUGCCCUUGAGAAAACAUUAAGAGGAUAUGCGGAAAAGAGAACAAAUACCGUUGUAGUACCAGCUGUUGGAUACAACUUCGGUUCAUUGGGGGAGGCGUACGACUUCUAUAACCUAUAUUCGUGGGAAAUUUGAUUGGGAAUAAGAUACGGAAAAAGUAGGCUCAACGUCGAGAGAACCAAAUGUAUGCAAGAGAUAGUAUCUGGAUGCUCGGAUAUGUGCCAGCAAGCUGCCCCAUGCACAUAUGAAGGCAAUAUAUGAGGUUUCUUUUCGAUCAAGAGGCGAAUGAUAACUAUGAAGAGCGACGAACAAAGAUAGUCAACACACCACUGGAGUUCCACGCUAGCAAGAUCUACACUCGAGCUAUGUUUGAGAAUUUUGGUGAGGUCCUGUAUGAAGCAGGACAAUACAGGGUAGAAGUUAAAAAUGGUUCGAAAUAUCACUUACACCGGUACCACCCAGAGAGAUACGAGAAGUAGUGUAGAGUACUAUACAUACUACAUAGUGCAUGUCGUCGCUGAGGAUGAAGAACUCUCAUGUGAAUGUGGUAACUUCAAGCACACAUGACUGUAUGCUGCCGUUCAGUUAAGGUUCUUGAUUUCUUGGGUAUAGACAAAAUUUCAUCAAAGCAUAUCCUCAAAAGGUGGACAAAAGAUGCAAGAGAUAUACUUCCAACCCACUUGUCACACCUACAAAGAGACAAGAUUUCAGCCAAUUCCAUAACAUUCAGACAUUCAAAUUUUUAUACACAUGCUUUAGAGGUUGUAAAACUUGGUGAUGCAAAUCCAAUUGCAUAUGAUUGUGCGAUGGAACUUCUUAGGGCAGCAAUGGAUAAACUAACAUAUUUAGCUGCUGAGCAUGAUGGUUUGGGUUUGCAACACAAGAUUGAAAUGAAGAAGACAAAAGGUACAUAACUGACUCUCUUCCAAGGAGCACAACAUGGACACAUGAGCGAUGAUGAAGGUAGCGUUGUCAAAUAUUUCAUUGGAUUAUCAGCUCCAGAACAAAAACGCAAGGCCGGUCGACCAACAAACAGCAGAGACAAGCCUCCAUAUGAUGACCGGUUUGCAAAGAGCAAAAAAAAUAAGGUCACAUCAUAAGUUGAUACAGGUAUUGGAUGCAGUACAAGCAAACGAACACGGUUCUGCACUAUAUGCCGUGGCCCUGGUCAAAAGAGCACAACGUGUCCGCUAAUAGGGGACACUCCUCAAAAGAAAAGGAAAGAAUCAAAAUGCUCAAUCUGCGGAGUGGGAGGGCAUCGAAAGAACACCUGCACAUGGAAAGCAACCUACUCAUGAUCCUAUUAUCGAACCAUGGGUAAUCUAUACAAGCAGCUAGCAUAUUUACCCUGUAUCCUGACUGCUCCCUACCAUGCACCUGAAAUACUUAUGUACUGUCAUCUUAGUAAUAUGUAUUUGCGUGAGCCCCUGAGCUGUCUAGAUGUGUUGUUUAAAACUAUUUCAUGCUUCAUGGUCCUGUAACAAAUAUCUCAGAUUAAUCUCCAUGUGCUACUGAUGACAUAUUCAUCUACUAUCCAUUACAUACACAUAUGCC